rnacentral:lncRNA from 1 species
GGGAGGCAUUUUCCAGUGCUGUCUCAUUAAGCAGAUGACCUGCAGACAUUGUCAGCACAACCCAGCCAAGGUGAUUGAUCACCAGAGAAUAGAGAUAUUUAGCAGAAAUCCUGGCCAGCAAGAGGACAUACUUGAUUUUUCUUUUUCCAUCAAUACAGACAUAAUGAUAAUCACCAGCCCGGAGCUGGGAUUGGUGAUUAGGAGUGCCAGCAAUGCUUCUCUUUCUAUGGUAACUUUGAAGUUCUUAGAGAAAACAUCCUUGCAUGGAAAGAUUUAUGUAACUUCAGCAGCACUUCCAGCCUCUUGA